GAGUGGCGAACGGNUGANUAACGCGUGAGGAACCUGCCUCAAAGAGGGGGACAACNGUUGGAAACGACUGCUAAUACCGCAUAAGCCCACGGUGCCGCAUGGUACAGAGGGAAAAGGAGCAAUCCGCUUUGAGAUGGCCUCGCGUCCGAUUAGCUAGUUGGUGAGGUAACGGCCCACCANGGCGACGAUCGGUAGCCGGACUGAGAGGUUGAACGGCCACAUUGGGACUGAGACACGGCCCAGACUCCUACGGGAGGCAGCAGUGGGGAAUAUUGCACAAUGGGGGAAACCCUGAUGCAGCGACGCCGCGUGGAGGAAGAAGGUCUUCGGAUUGUAAACUCCUGUUGUUGGGGAAGAUAAUGACGGUACCCAACAAGGAAGUGACGGCUAACUACGUGCCAGCAGCUGCGGUAAAACGUANGUCCCAAGCGUUGUCCGGAAUUACUGGGUGUAAAGGGAGCGCAGGCGGGAAGACAAGUUGGAAGUGAAAUCUAUGGGCUCAACCCAUAAACUGCUUUCNAAACUGUUUUUCUUGAGUAGUGCANAGGUAGGCGGAAUUCCCGGUGUAGCGGUGGAAUGCGUAGAUAUCGGGAGGAACACCAGUGGCGAAGGCGGCCUACUGGGCACCAACUGACGCUGAGGCUCGAAAGUGUGGUAGCAAACAGGAUUAGAUACCCUGGUAGUCCACACCGUAAACGAUGAUUACUAGGUGU
rnacentral:rRNA from 1 species